CUUUAUCUUGUCUCUCCUUGAUCUCCUUUCUCUCUCUAUACCACAUACAAUCAAAUUGGGGACGACUGUGGACGACAAAUCGAUGGACGAUGACGAUCUACCCAACACCGUGUAGCCUUUAAUUCAGCCUCGCAGCAGAGAUAAGUAUCAAGCGGCACCUCUAUUUUGGGAAUGGGUUUCAUAAAACAAUUCUUUAAUAAUAAUCUAAAUUGCAAAGGAUGGUAGUAAAUGGGAGCUACAAAAGUGUGAAGAAGAAAUUUAACAUGAAGAAAUGGGUUGUCAGAAUUAAAUUGGAGGAUCACACGAGUGCUGGGCUUCCAAUUUGAUACCGUUGCCAGUGACUUUCUGGGCUGUUGGGCUUUUGAUUGUUGUGUUUUUUUUAUUUAUUAUUAUUUUAUUUUAUUUUGGGUUGAUUGGUGAUAAUAAGUAAAGUCGUUGCUUCUCCCUCUAUUUUGUUGGCUUUUAUUGAUUGUUGGUGUGGUUAUGGUGUCGAUGAUGGUGG
rnacentral:lncRNA from 1 species